AUAGAAGAUCUUCUAUACCUGCCCAAACAGGUAUAAGAAAAUGCAAGAUACAGUGGUACUGGCCCAAGGAACACAAGGAAAAUCUGAAUCAAACUUGUUAAUAUGAAGGAGAUGGGAAAAGAAUGGAAUGGACAUUGGGCAAUAAACAUUUGGACUACUGGUUCUCAAGAAAACAGCUGGACCCACGUCUGUGAGGACCAGCACUACAAGCCUGUCUUCUUACGGUUCUCUCAUGCAGUUGUUUAUUUCCACACUUUAUCUCUGGUCCUGAUAACCACCACCAUUCUACUCUCUGCUUC